UCAACACAUGCUUUAUUUUGCAUUUGGCAUCCAGUUAGAAUAACAGUGCACAGACAGGGAACAGAAAGAAAAAAAAGAACACGAAGACUGAUAGACAGGCGGACAGAUAUCUUCUGCUAAAUAAAAAAACUCAAACGACUAGUUAAAUCUGGUUGCUGUUCCCAUAAGUUACACUCAGAAAGCAUGUGCCCCUGGAUCAGUGCCUUUGAUGAGGUUUGCUGAGCACACUGUCUGAACUGUUGUCUUCGAGGCUGGUCACAACGCUAUUCCGGGUGCGGUGGACUUGCAAACCUCUCCAUGUGGAUCACAGAAGAUGCACCAGCACCAAGACUUCCCAGCGCUUGAAUGCGGCGUUUGUUCUGCAGCCCCAGGGGAAAGGCUCCUCACACCACCGCUGCGACUACUGCGCUGACCAGAGAGAGAGUUUGUCGUUAUCUGCUGCAGCUACUUUCAACAAUGUCUCUGCGGCAAGGUCAGAGGAAUGGAAAAAAUCCCUCAAAGAAAUAUGAAAGCUCACCUCAGAAGUGCCCUGGGAAACGUGGAGAACAAACACUUGGUUGUUCUCAUUUUGUUCUACUUUGGAUUGAGAUGACAGAACUGGAUGGCUUGUACUAAAAGAAGGAAACUGAAGGAGACAUCUUGUGAAUCGCUUGCUUAAGACGAAAAGACUUCUGCAAAACUACUCUUCGACUCUAAACUAGCCUGGUUAGAAAUCGAAGCAGCCAUCUAAACUAAACCUUUACCCAGUCUGAGCUGACUGCCUGCUAGAUGACAGCCCUGUCUGAGUGGGUGUGAGGGAGCUGAGCUGCUGACUGAAAGUGGAAUGAACAGCAGAAAAGGGAUUUUGAAGUCAUUUAGAAACCUCAAAUACACCAAGAGAACCUGUGCAACAGGGGAUGGCCAAUGGAAAUUUUUCUCCUCCCUCUUAAAAAAGGUCUUCAGUACUGAGGGUCUCUUUGAACUGUAUUUCUCAGAUGGAUGGAGACAGCAUGGCAGCUGGUGUCCAUACCCAAGAACUGUGAACAAUAUUAUGCAGGCCUACAAAGAAAAUGCAAUU